rnacentral:rRNA from 1 species
AGAGUUUGAUCCUGGCUCAGGAUGAACGCUAGCUACAGGCUUAACACAUGCAAGUCGAGGGGCAGCAUUAUCGAAGCUUGCUUUGAUAGAUGGCGACCGGCGCACGGGUGCGUAACACGUAUCCAAUCUACCCAUGGCUCAGGGAUAGCCUUUCGAAAGAAAGAUUAAUACCUGAUGGUUUCAUGAGUCCGCAUGGACUUAUGAAUAAAGAUUUAUCGGCGAUGGAUGAGGAUGCGUCCGAUUAGCUUGUUGGCGGGGUAACGGCCCACCAAGGCGACGAUCGGUAGGGGCUCUGAGAGGAGGAUCCCCACAUUGGAACUGAGACACGGUCCAAACUCCUACGGGAGGCAGCAGUGAGGAAUAUUGGUCAAUGGGCGAGAGCCUGAACCAGCCAAGUAGCGUGAGGGAUGACUGCCCUAUGGGUUGUAAACCUCUUUUGUUUGGGAAUAAAGUGAGCCACGUGUGGCUUUUUGUAUGUACCUUACGAAUAAGCAUCGGCUAAUUCCGUGCCAGCAGCCGCGGUAAUACGGAAGAUGCGAGCGUUAUCCGGAUUUAUUGGGUUUAAAGGGAGCGUAGGCGGGUCUUUAAGCCAGCGGUCAAAUGUCAGGCCCAACCUUGGCAUGCCGUUGGAACUGUUGGCCUUGAAUACACACAAGGAAGGUGGAAUUCGUCGUGUAGCGGUGAAAUGCUUAGAUAUGACGAAGAACUCCGAUUGCGAAGGCAGCCUUCUGGGGUGCGAUUGACGCUGAGGCUCGAAAGU